GCUUAACGCGAAGAACCUUACCAGCUUUUGACAUGUCCGGUUUGAUCGGCAGAGAUGCCUUUCUUCAGUUCGGCUGGCCGGAACACAGGUGCUGCAUGGCUGUCGUCAGCUCGUGUCGUGAGAUGUUGGGUUAAGUCCCGCAACGAGCGCAACCCUCGCCCCUAGUUGCCAUCAUUCAGUUGGGAACUCUAGGGGGACUGCCGGUGAUAAGCCGCGAGGAAGGUGGGGAUGACGUCAAGUCCUCAUGGCCCUUACAGGCUGGGCUACACACGUGCUACAAUGGCGGUGACAAUGGGCAGCGAAAGGGCGACCUCGAGCUAAUCCCAAAAAGCCGUCUCAGUUCAGAUUGCACUCUGCAACUCGAGUGCAUGAAGGUGGAAUCGCUAGUAAUCGUGGAUCAGCAUGCCACGGUGAAUACGUUCCCGGGUCUUGUACACACCG
rnacentral:rRNA from 1 species